rnacentral:rRNA from 1 species
AGUGAACGCUGGCGGUAGGCCUAACACAUGCAAGUCGAACGGCAGCACAGUAAGAGCUUGCUCUUACGGGUGGCGAGUGGCGGACGGGUGAGGAAUACAUCGGAAUCUACUAUUUCGUGGGGGAUAACGUAGGGAAACUUACGCUAAUACCGCAUACGACCUACGGGUGAAAGCAGUGGAUCUUCGGACCUUGCGCGAUUGAAUGAGCCGAUGUCGGAUUAGCUAGUUGGCGGGGUAAAGGCCCACCAAGGCGACGAUCCGUAGCUGGUCUGAGAGGAUGAUCGGCCACACUGGAACUGAGACACGGUCCAGACUCCUACGGGAGGCAGCAGUGGGGAAUAUUGGACAAUGGGCGCAAGCCUGACCCAGCCAUACCGCGUGGGUGAAGAAGGCCUUCGGGUUGUAAAGCCCUUUUGUUGGGAAAGAAAAGCAGCAGGUUAAUACCCCGCUGUUCUGACGGUACCCAAAGAAUAAGCACCGGCUAACUUCGUG